AGGUCAAAAAAAUAGCAACUUCGAAAACUUGAACGCGUUACCCUAAAUUCUAAUGGCCUAAUCUAUACGAUUAGCGUUGUCCUUGCUUCCGCCGGAGCAUCAUCAUCUCCGUCAACCACCAGCUUUGUCUCAAUCUAAUAAAAUUGGUACGCGUCCCGGUUGCAGUUUUCUUAUAAAUUAAAUUGAGUGUUUUUGAGCAAUUUCAAGCUUUUAUCUGCUAUAAAUCAUAUAUAAGCAUUAAUGAAUAGUGGAAAAUUGUACAAUACAAUAAUUGUGCCAUGUUUUUCGUGCAACCAACCAAUGAGACGUUAGUCAUGUUGUGAAUAUUUAGGGUUUAGUGAUUCUAUUAAUUAUUGUUUGUGUUUGUAGUUUCUUUUGUUCAUAUGUGAUGAAUAGGCUUGAGAAGGAAUUGUAUUAUAUGGCUACCACCAAGAAAAAAAUGAAGUCACAAAAGCGAGAUGGAGAGAAUAAUGAUUUUUUUGGGGAAUUGGAAUACCUGUCACUGGUAUCAAAGGUAUGUACAGAGCUUGAAAGUCACUUAGGGAGUAAGUUAGGGUAUGGAAAAAAAGUGUUGGCUGAGUACAUUAUGGAAUUGGGGCGUAACAGCCGCACCGUUGAUGAAUUUGAUGCAAUGCUUAAGGAAUACGAGUUGAACAUGCCGGAUUAUUUUGUCCGUACACUCCUUACUAUCAUUCAUGCCAUUCUCCCUCCUUCUCUCCCCAAGCCGGAUGCUGCUGCUGCUAAUAAUAUUAGCAUCGAUGAUCCUCGUAAGUCCAAGAUCGAAGACAGAGGUCGAGACAGGGACAUGGAUAGAGAUAGAGAUGAGAGACGUAGAGAGGAUAGGAGUAGAGCGAGUCAGAGGGAUCGGUAUGAUAGGUAUAGGAGAGACGGCAGCGAUCAAAGGGAAAGUAGGAGGAGCAGGCGUUACAUUCAUGGUGGUCCUGAAUUGUACAAUGUAUACAAGGGUAAGGUGUCCAGGGUGAUGGACUCUGGUUGUUUUGUGCAGCUUAUUGAUUUAAGGGGCAGAGAAGGCUUGGUUCAUGUUUCGCAUAUGGCUACUAGGAGGAUUGGUAAUGCUAAGGAUGUUGUCAAGCGUGACCAGGACGUUUUUGUUAAAGUCAUUUCAGUUUCAGGGCAGAAGUUGAGUCUUUCCAUGAGGGAUGUUGAUCAAAAUACUGGCGAGGAUCUUCUUCCUUUAAAGAAGACAUAUGACAGUGAUGACGAUACUUUUAGAACUAACCCAUCUGGUUCCAAGGAUGGGACAGUCACUAGAACUGGGAUUUCUGGGAUUAGGAUCUUGGAAGAGGAUGGGACUGUUCCAUUGCGUCGCCCACUGAAGAGAAUGAGCUCACCAGAGAAAUGGGAAGCAAAACAGUUGAUUGCUUCUGGUGUUGUAAGCAUCCGAGACUUUCCUAUGUAUGACGAGGAAGGAGAUGGGCUGCUCGACCAAGAAGAGGGAGCCGAGGAAGAGCUUGAAAUUGAAUUAAAUGAAGAAGAGCCUGCCUUUUUGCAAGGCCAGACUCGGUACUCUGUUGAUAUGUCACCAGUGAAAAUAUUUAAGAAUCCCGAAGGAUCCUUGAGUCGUGCUGCUGCACUUCAGUCUGCACUGAUAAAGGAAAGAAGAGAAGUUAGGGAACAGCAGCAGAGAACCAUGCUUGAUUCAAUACCUAAGGAUCUUAAUCGUCCUUGGGAGGACCCAAUGCCUGAGACUGGGGAGAGGCAUCUCGCACAGGAGCUUAGAGGUGUCGGCUUAUCUGCUGAUGACAUACCUGAAUGGAAAAAGGACGCAGUUGGGAAAGCUUUGACAUUUGGCCAAAGAUCUAAGCUGUCUAUUCAGGAACAGAGGCAGAGUUUGCCAAUCUACAAAUUGAAGAAGGAGUUGGUUCAAGCUGUCCAUGAUAAUCAGGUUCUAGUAGUUAUUGGCGAGACAGGCUCAGGUAAGACUACCCAGAUAACGCAGUAUCUUGCUGAGGCUGGUUAUACUACUAGGGGUAAGAUUGGAUGCACUCAACCUCGACGUGUGGCUGCAACGUCUGUGGCCAAGAGGGUGGCUGAAGAGUUUGGUUGUCGUUUAGGGGAGGAGGUUGGAUAUGCCAUUCGUUUUGAGGACUGUACUGGACAAGAUACUGUGAUCAAGUACAUGACAGAUGGUAUGCUACUUAUGGAGAUUCUGAUUGAUGAAAGUCUUUCUCAAUAUUCAGUUGUAAUGCUUGAUGAAGCUCAUGAGAGGACAAUCCACACUGAUGUUCUUUUUGGGUUACUUAAACAGCUUGUGAAGAGGAGACCUGAUCUUCGCCUGAUUGUCACAUCUGCCACACUGGAUGCUGAGAAAUUUUCGGGUUAUUUCUUUAACUGUAAUAUAUUCACAAUUCCUGGGAGAACGUUUCCUGUGGAGAUCUUAUACGCUAAACAGCCAGAAAGUGACUAUUUAGCUGCAUCUUUGAUGACCGUGCUACAAAUACAUUUGACAGAACCUGAGGGUGACAUACUUCUUUUCUUGACUGGUCAGGAAGAGAUUGAUUUUGCAUGCCAAUCUCUCUAUGAGAGUAUGAAAGGAUUAGGUAAAGAUGUGCCUGAACUAAUCAUAUUGCCUGUUUAUAGUGCCCUUCCCAGUGAAAUGCAGUCCAGGAUUUUUGAACCUGCCCCUCCAGGGAAGCGAAAGGUGGUUGUGGCAACCAAUAUUGCUGAGGCCUCCUUGACUAUUGAUGGGAUAUUUUAUGUGAUAGAUCCUGGGUUUGCAAAGCAGAACGUAUAUAAUCCAAAGCAAGGCCUUGAUUCUCUCAUCAUAACCCCAAUUUCUCAAGCAUCUGCUAAGCAACGAGCUGGACGCGCCGGGCGUACUGGGCCUGGAAAGUGUUAUCGUCUAUUCACUGAAAGUGCAUACCGUAAUGAGAUGUCCCCUACAUCAAUUCCAGAAAUUCAAAGGAUAAAUCUUGGACUUACCACACUUACUAUGAAGGCAAUGGGAAUUAAUGAUCUCCUCUUAUUUGAUUUUAUGGAUCCACCUUCACCCCAGGCCCUCAUAUCUGCCAUGGAGCAGCUAUACAAUUUGGGAGCUUUAGAUGAAGAGGGGCUUCUGACGAAAUUGGGAAGGAAAAUGGCAGACUUUCCCCUGGAUCCGCCAUUGUCCAAGAUGCUGCUGGCAAGUGUAGAUCUCGGAUGUAGUGAUGAAAUUUUGACUAUCAUUGCCAUGAUCCAAACUGGUAACAUAUUCUACAGACCAAGGGAGAAACAAGCUCAAGCUGAUCAGAAGAGGGCCAAGUUUUUCCAGCCUGAAGGAGACCAUUUAACCUUACUUGCUGUAUACGAGGCUUGGAAAGCUAAGAACUUUUCAGGGCCUUGGUGUUUUGAGAAUUUUGUUCAGUCCAGAUCCUUGAGGAGGGCUCAAGACGUUAGGAAACAGCUUCUUUCAAUAAUGGAUAGAUACAAAUUGGAUGUUGUGAGUGCUGGGAAGAAUUUUACUAAAAUAAGAAAAGCCAUUACUGCUGGGUUAUUUUUUCAUGGAGCCAGAAAGGAUUCACAGGAAGGUUAUAGGAGCCUAGUUGAGAACCAGCCAGUUUAUAUCCACCCAAGCAGUGCUCUUUUUCAAAGACAGCCUGACUGGGGCAUCUAUCAUGAACUGGUAAUGACUACAAAGGAAUACAUGCGUGAGGUAACUGUUAUAGAUCCCAAAUGGCUUGUGGAACUGGCACCCAGAUUCUUUAAAGUGGCAGAUCCAACAAAAAUGAGCAAGCGCAAGCGUCAAGAACGAAUUGAGCCUCUAUAUGACAAAUAUCAUGAACCUAAUUCAUGGCGAUCGAACAAACGACGAGCAUGAUGUUUGAUUGCCAUCUCCAUUCUAUUCUGUAAAUAAUUUAGUUGCCGAUCUUACAAAAUGUGGGCGACACAGUUCACUGUAUGUUAAAUGAGCUGCUUCUGCCUUCUGGUGCUGACUUGUCGUGUUGUGGCUCCGGCUUUGAUUUCUUUUAAGUAUUUGGAAGUGGGAGGGAGAACUGUAUUUUCCCUGCUUUUGACUGAUGUAAGGGGAAUGUUUUGCUUUUCCUAAUCUGGCUUGCAAAGAUGAUGCUGAAUGUCUUACUGAUAAGUUGGAGGGUAUGGAAGUAUCCGUGAUGCCAUUUUCUAUUCGAGAUGGCGGCAUUUGCAAAAUUUAUAAGCUUAAAAAGAAGCUGCACAGACCUGCACACUACCGACAAUAUGCUGACAUCAGUAGAAGACGAGGGCAAAACCUUAGAUAUGCCCUUUGUAAGGGCAUUGGAGGAUGCUGUACAAAUUCACAUGGUUUCGCCCUCUCAAUUAGUGGCAUCAAAUUUUUGCUUGAGUCACGUUCAAUAGCUAGUGAGUAAGGGGAGUCUACAGUCAGUGAAGAGUCAGCGAGAUUCGAAAGCGAAUUUCAUCAAGGCGAUAAUGAGGCCGAGUUUAAUAAGGAUGAUGUAGCACUUGACAAUGAAGCUGCUGAAACCAUGCUUCAUAAAAAGCUCUCUAACCCCAAGUUGAGGAACAAAGCUUCCGAUUUUACAUGCUUACCUCUCGCCUCUAACCCGUCAUGAAAAGGAUACAUAUUAAAAUUGUUGGAUUGAUAGGCUUUUCUUUUUCUGCUGUUUGCAGGAAUAUCAUGUAAUGUGAAACACUCAGAAGUAGAUGCAGAGUUGAAUAGCUGGGGAUUUGUUUUUAACUUUCCAGUAUCUCUCUUUGUAAACUUUUGAGUGUUCCGAUGAAAGUUGAAAAUAUAUUCUAGGAAAAUAGAAUGAGAAGAAGAAAUUGUUAAGUAGAAAACAUAUUUCAUUGCACGUCAUUUUAUGUGUAGCAUCUGAAAAAAGUUCCCAACAUUAAUGGACUCGCAAAUCAUAGUCAAACUAAUAGAUAGUUACAUUUUGGGAUAAUUGAUCCUGAA